UGGGGAAUAUUGCACAAUGGGGGAAACCCUGAUGCAGCGACGCCGCGUGAGCGAAGAAGGUUUUCGAAUCGUAAAGCUCUGUCCUAUGAGAAGAUAAUGACGGUAUCAUAGGAGGAAGCCCCGGCUAAAUACGUGCCAGCAGCCGCGGUAAUACGUAUGGGGCGAGCGUUGUCCGGAAUUAUUGGGCGUAAAGGGUACGUAGGCGGUCUAUUAAGUCAGGUGUGAAAGCGUGAGGCUUAACCUCAUUAAGCACUUGAAACUGAUAGACUUGAGUGAAGGAGAAGAAAGGGGAAUUCCUAGUGUAGCGGUGAAAUGCGUAGAUAUUAGGAGGAAUACCGGUGGCGAAGGCGACUUUCUGGGCUUUUACUGACGCUCAGGUACGAAAGCGUGGGGAGCAAACAGG
rnacentral:rRNA from 1 species